UUGAGAAUAGCUUAAGUAAGAGCGCCACACUGAAGAUGUGGAAGUGAAUGUAUUUCUUCUCAUA
rnacentral:tRNA from 1 species